UAUCAACAUUAAUAGGAGUUUAUAAGAAGUUGAUUUCAAACCCCAUGGAUGAUUUUGAGGAAUUAAAAACUUCAGUAGAGGAACUAACUGCAGAUAUGAUGGAAAUAGCAAGAGAAGUAGAAGUGGAGCCUGAAGAUGAAAAUUGUUGCAAUCUCAUGAUAAACUUUAAUGAAUGAGAAGUUGCCUUACACAUGAGCAAAAAAAAAAAAAAGCAAUGUAUUAAGCAAUGUAUUGAGUUGGAACUUACUCCUGGUGAAGAUACUUGUAAUCUUCACCAGGAACCUGGUGAACGUUCUUGUAAUGACAACAAAGGACUUAGAAUACUAUAUAUUAGUUGAUUAAACAGCAGCAGGGUUUGAGAGGAUUGGCUAUAAUUUCAAAAGAAUUUCUACUAUAGGUAAAGUGCUAUCAAACAACAUUGAAUGCAAUAGAGAAAUUUUUCUUGAAAGGAAGAGUCAAAGAGGCAAACCUCAUCAUCUUGUUUUGAGAAAUUGCCACUGCCAUCUCAACCUUCAACAACCACUACCCUCAUCAGUCAGCAGACAUCAGUAUGAAGUCAAGAGCCUCCACCAGCAAAAAAUGUAUAACUCGCUGAAGGCUCAGAUGAGAGUUAUUUUAA
rnacentral:lncRNA from 10 species